rnacentral:tRNA from 1 species
AGGGCCUUAUUCAAAUAUGAUAUUUAAUUUGCAGUUAAAAGGUGGCUUCAGGCCUUU